GGGUUGGGGUCUCAGAAGGCAGUGCUGUUGAGGCAUGUCCACCAUGGCCUGGGCUGUGCUCCUCCUCACCCUCCUCACUCAGGGCACAGGGUCCUGGGCGCAGUCAGCCCUGACUCAUCCUCCGUCUGCGUCUGGGGCUCUGGGUCAGUGGGUCACCAUCUCCUGUGCUGGAAGCAGCAGCGACAUUGGGGGUUAUAACUACAUCUCCUGGUACCAACAGCCCCCAGGCACAGCCCCCAAACUCCUGAUUUAUGAUGUCAGUUCUAGAGCCUCAGGGAUCCCUGCUCGCUUCUCUGGCUCCAAGUCUGGCAACACCGCCUCGCUGACCAUCUCUGGGCUCCAGGCUGAGGAUGAGGCAGAUUAUUACUGUAGCUCGUAUGGAAGCAGUAACAAUUUCCACAGUGGUUCCUGGGCCCCAUCUGCCCAGAGUCAGCCUCCUUCAGUGUCCGGGGCUCUGGGGCAGUCAGUCACCAUCUCUUGA